rnacentral:tRNA from 1 species
CCGCGGGAUGGAGCAGUAGGUAGCUCGUCGGGCUCAUAACCCGAAGGUCAUCGGUUCGAGUCCGAAAAAAAUACACCGCGGG